GGGCCGGUAGUCUAGCCUGGAAGGAUGCCCAGGGACGGUAGUCCCGCACAAGCCUCGCAUUACCCUUAACAGCACGGGAACGCGGGAGAACCCGGGUUCAAAUCCCGGCCGGUCCACCA
rnacentral:tRNA from 1 species